rnacentral:lncRNA from 1 species
GCCUCCUCCCUCUUCUAUAUUUGAUAUCUAUCCCUCUUCUAUGUCCAAGGGUGUUGGAUGAGCCAUCUGGUGGGUUCAAGAUGUCGAACGCCAUCAUUCUACGUGAAGAGUUGAAAAGACUGCGAUCAGGGGUUGAUCAAAGUCCUGUCGGUGAUCAGAUUUGAAUCUGAUCAAGGAGCUUGCAAUUCUACCUAGGAGUAGGUGGAUUGAUCGAGGAGAAGGCAUUUUAGAUCAAGCCCAAGUGGAUACCUGUAGAAGCCAGACACCUGUGUGGCUCCAUAGUGAACCUCGAAGAUUAUCGGAUCAUCAAUCAUGGAGAUCGUCUACUCACGCAUGGUGAUGAGAUCACCUCUUAUGUCUUAUGCAUGUUAAUUUUUAUUAUUUAAUAUACUAUUUUUUUAAAUUUGGAUCUAAGUCUCAUAUGC